rnacentral:rRNA from 1 species
GCGUGCCUAAUACAUGCAAGUCGAGCGAACAGACGAGGAGCUUGCUUCUCUGACGUUAGCGGCGGACGGGUGAGUAACACGUGGAUAACCUACCUAUAAGACUGGGAUAACUUCGGGAAACCGGAGCUAAUACCGGAUAAUAUAUUGAACCGCAUGGUUCAAUAGUGAAAGACGGUUUUGCUGUCACUUAUAGAUGGAUCCGCGCCGCAUUAGCUAGUUGGUAAGGUAACGGCUUACCAAGGCAACGAUGCGUAGCCGACCUGAGAGGGUGAUCGGCCACACUGGAACUGAGACACGGUCCAGACUCCUACGGGAGGCAGCAGUAGGGAAUCUUCCGCAAUGGGCGAAAGCCUGACGGAGCAACGCCGCGUGAGUGGUGAAGGUCUUCGGAUCGUAAAACUCUGUUAUUAGGGAAGAACAAAUGUGUAAGUAACUAUGCACGUCUUGACGGUACCUAAUCAGAAAGCCACGGCUAACUACGUGCCAGCAGCCGCGGUAAUACGUAGGUGGCAAGCGUUAUCCGGAAUUAUUGGGCGUAAAGCGCGCGUAGGCGGUUUUUUAAGUCUGAUGUGAAAGCCCACGGCUCAACCGUGGAGGGUCAUUGGAAACUGGAAAACUUGAGUGCAGAAGAGGAAAGUGGAAUUCCAUGUGUAGCGGUGAAAUGCGCAGAGAUAUGGAGGAACACCAGUGGCGAAGGCGACUUUCUGGUCUGUAACUGUCGCUGAUGUGCGAAAGC